AAUAUAACUUGGAAAAAUAUAGAAGUUAUGAAAAAUUUUUUAAUUUACUUAUAUAGAAACUAUUAAAAUUAUGUAAAGAAUUCUUUAAAAAUUUUUUCUCCAGGAUAAUUUCCAUUCAAUUUACUUAAAUCUUUAGUAUUAAACCGUAUGCAUUUGCAACUUUUGAGAUCAAUCGCAUCACUCGCAGAAAUGAGUUCGAUGAUUAAAUCGCACGAGUAUUUCGCAUUGCUGGGCGUUAUGAUUAUUGACAUCGAUUAUGACUGAAAGUUAAACAAGUACCGCGAUUCAUCAUACGCAAUGUGCCACGCGGUCCCGCCAAGAAAUUUGCACUCGACUCCCCCGGCUGGUUUCACUUUGGCAGGCAUAACGGACCAAACAAACAUAACGGUAUAGUUAAUGAGCGGCUCGACUUGGGCCGCGUACAUAGUUGUCUUCGGCGGCGCACAUGUGUUUUGUCUAAUGUCACGAUACGAAUUCGGACUCGAUAAUUAACGAUUAUGCGGUAUUUAUGAUUGGGUCCUUCGUGAGAACGUCAAUGCUGAUUUUAACAAAUACAAAAUGUUUCUCACUGUACAGUAUUCAAGUUUAUUACAUUAACGUGAUAAUUUUGGAAGAUUUUUCUCCUUUUUUACACGGAAAUAAAAAAUAAAAUAGAAAAGAAUAUGCUUUAGAACUGAUAUAAGAAUUUAUAUUUAUAAUUCAUGAUUGUUUAAGAAUAUAAAAGCUAUUGUGGUACCCUAGAAAACAUUACAAUGUAACAUCUUCUAAGUAGAGAAGGCAACGGCUAAUUUUGUUUAUUGUAAUAACGGUAACGAAAAAUCAGGUUGACCGGAGGUCCGGCUUCGCGAAUAAUAAACAAACCGAGUAAAAGGUAAAAUCAGCAUUGGAGAACGAAGACGAGUGCAUCGCUUCCUAGUUUUUAAGCUUGGCGGCGGCCUUGUUACCGCCAGCAAAUCGACCGUCAUCCGCAUAGCGCUACGCGACUCCUAAAAGUGGAACAGUCGCAUCCUUCCAGAUUCUACCUAUAAAAGCGUGCGCCGGAUACGUCAUCGCACGCGAAUUUCUAUUUCUCGAAGCCACUGCGCGUUACCACUGGGUAACUUUUUGUCGACCGUAUAUUACGUGCAUCGCAUGUACAAAAAUCACGCGCCACUCGCCACAACCCGAGAGAGAGAGAGAGAGAGAGAGAGAGAGAGAGAGAGAGAGAGAGAGAGGAGACCAAAUCAAUUCAAGAUACAGCCUAACGAAACUGCAAAAUGAAGUUCUGACUUAAACACAUACAUACACACUCAUCAAUUAGUUUCUAAUACAGAGACACAAUAUUAUACAUACAGUAGUAUAAUUGUAACACUGAAGAAAUACUUACGAAUGCAUAUAUAAGCGGCCGAUAAAACAUCUGUAUAAUUAUCACAUAACAUUUCUUGUCGGACACAGUGCAUUUUAUCAAAUAUAACAAUCGUAAGUUUUUAUGAACCGAAAAUAUUUUUUCUCAUCUUUCACACAAUCAUUGCAGUUUAUGAUUACAAACCAGUAAGAGAUCAUAAACCUGUAUGUAACAUAAAACUUCUCGAUAGAAGUUCAGGAAGCACUGAUUUCAUCUUUAAUUUCACGCUCAUUUUAAACAAUUGUAUUAUGUUACAGUAUUUUUACGAAUAUUGGUUUUAUGGAAUCUUUUCAGUAAUACACUUCAAACGACAAUUCUUCAACAACAUGAUAGGAAAUAUCCGAAACCAAAAAUCUUGUUGUUCUCUGAUAAAUUUUCUCCUCUACAAACUUCAAAUAAAGAAAGACAUAGUAUUUUUUCUACAUAACAUUUCGGUCAGUCGUAAGUCUUACCUGACAAGAAGGUACUAGCUAAAGAAUCGUCAUCCUGCCCACCAACUAAUCCGACGAGCACGAACAGAAGGACAAUGCCCCAGGGGGCAGCUCUCAAUAUCAUCUUCAGCUUCCCUCUGGUGUCUCCGUUUAUUUCUUUGAAUGGGAGAAACAGUAAGGAUAAGGAUAAAGGAAUGAGGAAGAGAAAGAGAAAAGGAAAUCUUGUUUCCGAGAUUGGCGCACUGUCUUGUCCGUACGAUCCUGAUCACGUGCACGUCAAACUGUCUCUCCUCACUGUCAAAAAUUCAACGACGUUCACAAUGUUGCGUCGUGCGAACGUCUGCCCACUUCACCUGCGUCGGCUAGUUCGACGGACACUGUAUAGAGAUCAGGGUCUACUUGUGGGUCAGGGUGUGCGAAUCCCCACCGGCGUACAGCGAUGGCUUGGGAAGGUGAGAGAAAUGUGGAGGUUGAAUAAGAAAAGAGGAAAUAAGACAGGACCGAUGGUCGACCAGCAUUAUGAACGAUCUGGAGGGGACGGGGUUGCUGACAGGGGCGGUGCUAGCUGUGAUUUCUGUUGCUCUCUUCAUUACAAAACUUCAUUUGAUCGAUAAAAUCAGCAAUUUGAAUUGUCACUUACAAAACAAGUAGCACCUAAAAAAAAAUUCAAUAUGUAACCAACUAAUUAUUAAUCAGUUCCGUAAAAUCUAUUUGCGGAAUUCUAAAUAUACUUGUGAUAAAUAUUUUGAGAUAUUAUUUCAAAUGCAAUGCUGAUUAUUUCAUUUGCCACUUAAGAUACAUCUGCUUUAAUUUUCCAUCUUCAAUAAACAAUCGAAGGAUAUCUUACAAAAACUAAACAAGUCCAUUUUUUUUAAAUAUGGUUUAAAAUUUUUCUUUAUCAGAAUACAUAUUACAAAACUUUUGGAACGGAUUACAAAUAGAAUUAUUCAAUUAUUUCCUAAAUUUCCGUUGUAUUUUCUUAAGAAAAAAAACGGAAUAAUUUUAAUCACACGCACACAUUUCGAAGUUCUAUAAUACGUGUCUAAUAGCAUUACAUCGUGAACAAUUAGGUUGCAGAAAUUAAAUAGAAAAUGGAAAAUGUAAAUAUUAAAAUUAACAAAUAAAGAAUUUAUACAAAAAGUAA
rnacentral:lncRNA from 1 species